UCCAGUAUGGCUUUGUUGAUCAUGAGGU
rnacentral:piRNA from 1 species